GGCACUGAUCAUCUUGUUAAUCUAACUUUUAAGAUGGUAGAAAAAGAAGGGCUUCAAGUCUUAGAACACUUGCUAUGCAGAAGGUAAUGAAGUGAGUUGAUUAUAUAUGUACAUAGCCAGAGGCAAUUCCUUAACUGGGGCCUUCAUAGGCAAGGUAACAUGGGAAGCAAAACCAUGUGAUAAAGCAGAUAUGAGGAGAUGUUAGAGGGGUAGGCAUGUUUGUUUUUGUUUGACGAUCUACACACAAAGGUGAAGCAUAGAAAGGGUGUUACACAUGAUAUAUCUAUCUUUUUU
rnacentral:misc_RNA from 1 species